rnacentral:snRNA from 1 species
GUGCUUGCUUCGGCAGCACAUAUACUAAAAUUGGAACGAUACAGAGAUUAGCAUGGCCCCUGCACAAGGAUGACACGCAAAUUCGUGAAGCGUUUCAUAUUUUU